ACCUCGGCGGUGCAGUGGUAGCACGUGUCCCUGAUAUGGAGGAAACGCGGAUUCGGCUCCCGUCUGAGUUCGUA